UGUUUGUGUCGCGUGGCCGGUUUGGGGAGCUAUUUACCGAAUGCGCUUGACCUGAAUUUGUUCUUCAUCGUCAUCGGGGUCAUGUCGGGAACUUUUGGUUUGUCUUCAGUCGAGCUAGCUCUUGUCGGUCUGCUUGUCGUCCUCCUCCUAAGGAGCUCCGGAGCCGUUUGCCUGCCGUCUCCGUCGAUGCCCAAGGGAGCCACUUUCGGGUGAGUGUUCCACUGGAACUUCAAGCAACCUGUAUGAGCUAUACUCUUGAUUAACUGGUUCACUGGAAGAUUGAGAAGUGUUAUCUUGGGGAAAUAUUGUUGUCGUUUGUUCUUCUUAAUUAUUAGUUCCAAAGUUUAUCAUUAGACUAGGACUAAUUUGCUUGUUUUCUAGGGACUUUUUUUAAACUUUUUUGCAGUCACUAGAAACAGAAUGGCUUUCUAGCAGAUUCUGGUUCCAAUCUCUUUGUAACCAAACCUUCAUUCCAUUCCAUGAAUGACAUUUACAAUUUAGCA
rnacentral:lncRNA from 1 species